GGCCUAUUAGCUCAGUUGGUUAGAGCGGAAAAUCAAAAUCGGCGUCGUGCUAAUAACGCGAAGGUCGCAGGUUCGAGACCUGCAUGGGCCA